rnacentral:lncRNA from 1 species
AGGUCCCUCCCCCAACACUGGGGAUUACAAUUCAACAUGAGAUUUGAGUGGGAGUACAGAGCCAAACCAGAUCACCCCUCUUCCUGCACCAGGCAUCCUUGAAAGGGGGCCAUAAUGAUAAUGAAGCCCAGCAUUUCACAAUAUUUACCCUGCGCCAGGUACUGUUCUGGCAUUUUUCAUAUGUGAGGAAAGGGAAGGAGGAGGCUAAGGCUGCCCAGGAGGCCUUGGAUACCAGGCUUGGAGCUGGUAACCUCCAGGGCUUCCAGCACGGGGCCUCUGCCUGGUGUGACAGAUACCGGCUGGCCUCACUUGAUGGAUCUCAGUACUGAGCUGGGCAUUUCUCUGCCCCCCAACUUUUUUCUUUUUAAAAAUAAGAUGGGGAGUGUUCAUAAAAUUAUAGAUGUUUGUUGUAAAAUUU